GACGAACGCUGGCGGCGUGCUUAACACAUGCAAGUCGAACGGAAAGGCCCUGCUUUUGUGGGGUGCUCGAGUGGCGAACGGGUGAGUAACACGUGAGUAACCUGCCCUUGACUUUGGGAUAACUUCAGGAAACUGGGGCUAAUACCGAAUAGGAGCUCCGGUUGCAGGGGGGGGGUGGGAAAGUUUCGGCGGUUGGGGAUGGACUCGCGGCUUAUCAGCUUGUGGGUGGGGUAGUGGCUUACCAAGGCUUUGACGGGUAGCCGGCCUGAGAGGGUGACCGGCCACAUUGGGACUGAGAUACGGCCCAGACUCCUACGGGAGGCAGCAGUGGGGAAUAUUGCACAAUGGGCGGAAGCCUGAUGCAGCAACGCCGCGUGCGGGAUGACGGCCUUCGGGUUGUAAACCGCUUUCGCCUGUGACGAAGCGUGAGUGACGGUAAUGGGUAAAGAAGCACCGGCUAACUACGUG
rnacentral:rRNA from 1 species